ensembl:lncRNA
CCUUCAUUUAAGGGUUAGCAGCCAAAGGAAUAGCAUCUAUCUGGAUAGAGUCAUAGUCUGAACCAGUGAGAGAGCACCUUGUGAAGGGAUGUGGCCAGCUCUUUGAUCAUGGGUGGAACCAGAACCAGGUGGGAGCACCUAUAUAACCAGAAGGGUCAGAGCUGAGCUCCACUCCUCCCUCACUUCAUUUAAGGGCUGGCCUCCUUUGGAGUGUUUGAAGAAUUAGUCAUUGAUUUUGAUGGCUGCUUGUUCUUAAUGAUCAUCUGUCAGCUGUGUAUCAAAAUGUUGUCUUCAGUGAAGAAACAGCAGAUAAGGAAGGCAGGAGAGGAAAGAAGAUCAUCAACACUCAUGACUUUAAUAAGACUCUGAUCCUGUAGUGAGAAUAAUGUGAACUGAUUCCUGACUCUGUAUGCCCAGAGUGGUUCUGUAUAAAUGAAUGUUUUAGGCCUUGUACUUUUCAAAGCUGGACCAUAACCAAAUCCCAAUUUAAUUUUUGCACAGAUUGUUCCUUCUUAGUAUUAUGAGAUAGUGAAACUAUGACUACUGUUAGCAAUAAUCAGGAAUAAGUUUUUAAAUGAAAAUGCUGUAAAAUCUCCAAAGAUUUGAUUGUUUUUAUUUUUAAACUCAACUUUUGGGAAGGUUUCAUACAGAAACAGCAGCCAGCUAAUGCAUGAUAAGUAGCAGUGAAAAUAUCUCUGGGAC